AACGAACGCUGGCGGCGUGCUUAACACAUGCAAGUCGAACGCGAAAGGGACUUCGGUCCUGAGUAGAGUGGCGCACGGGUGAGUAACGCGUAAGUAAUCUACCCCUGUAUCUGGAAUAACCCACCGAAAGGUGUGCUAAUACGGGAUACGCUGAUUUAUCAGGAAAGGUGGCCUCUUCAUGAAAGCUACUGUACCAGGAGGAGCUUGCGUACCAUUAGCUAGUUGGUAGGGUAAUGGCCUACCAAGGCGACGAUGGUUAGCGGGUCUGAGAGGAUGAUCCGCCACACUGGAACUGAAACACGGACCAGACUCCUACGGGUGGCUG
rnacentral:rRNA from 1 species